rnacentral:rRNA from 1 species
UACGAAGGGGGCUAGCGUUGCUCGGAAUUACUGGGCGUAAAGGGCGCGUAGGCGGGUCGUCAAGUUGGGGGUGAAAGCCCGGGGCUCAACCUCGGAAUUGCCUUCAAAACUGGCGACCUAGAGUACGGGAGAGGUGUGUGGAACUCCGAGUGUAGAGGUGAAAUUCGUAGAUAUUCGGAAGAACACCAGUGGCGAAGGCGACACACUGGCCCGUUACUGACGCUGAGGCGCGAAAGCGUGGGGAGCAAAC